rnacentral:rRNA from 1 species
UACGUAGGGGGGCUAGCGUUGUCCGGAAUCAUUGGGCGUAAAGAGCGCGUAGGCGGCCAGAUAAGUCCGGUGUGAAAGUCAAAGGCUCAACCUUUGAAUGCCGCUGGAAACUGUCUGGCUAGAGUCCGGGAGGGGCGAGUGGAAUUCCUGGUGUAGCGGUGAAAUGCGCAGAUAUCAGGAGGAACACCAAUGGCGAAGGCAGCUCGCUGGAACGGUACUGACGCUGAGGAGCGAAAGCGUGGGGAGCAAACAGG